rnacentral:lncRNA from 1 species
CAGUAGCAAGUGAUCAUUAAUUUAUCGAGGGCCAGGAGAUUGAAAAACGGGAAGAACUCCUCAAAUGGAACCAUCAACAGUUCAAGUCCAACGAGGUCAUGCUCCUUUCUAACUCUCAGCGUCAAAAUAUUACUCCCCCGAGACUCUUUGCAAGUUUUCAUGUACCAAUCAUGGAAUCUUCGCAUCAUCGUUGUUACAGAUCUUUCAUCUUUGACGAGAGGCUUCCCGUACACGUAUUUGUGUUCGUCCACCUCCAAUAAAUGAAAAUGUGCAUCAUCGGGCAGGUAAUCUGCAGGAUUGGUACCAGGCAACAAGAUCUCCGGAUGAUUAGCAUUUACUGAUUAUUUUGAGCUAUAAGACCAUGAAAUUGUAAAGCAUUUGAAAUGAACUCUGAAAAGGUUCCAAGUUGGCAUGGUAUCAUCAUUUCACCCACAUAGCAUGUGCAAGAAAGUAGAGAGGCUUACAGCAAAAACUGGAUGCACUUCGUGUACAAAACGGACA